rnacentral:lncRNA from 1 species
GUGAGUUCUCACUCCAUACACCUAUAUUUUGGUAACUCCUAGAAUGUUAAGAUUGUAUACAUUUAUUUAUUUGGGUUAUCUAAUGUGCUAUACAGGCAAAAUAUUACUUGGAGCAGGCUGAGUAUGAUACUGGUAAUCCUGAGGAAGACCUUAAAGCACAGUCCUUUAUGCGACAGCUAUUAUUCAACCAGAAACUGCAAGCUGCAUGUCCAAUUCCGUUUCAUGAAGCUAAACUGUGGAAAGGCCAAAGUGGACCUGAGAGUCUUGCCUUUUCUUUCCAAACCUAUGUAUGCAAGAAAAUGAUUUCUGCAUUUGCUUGACAUCCAAAAGAAGCCUAAAGGAAAAGGUUUCUAACAUUUUAUUUUUAUAAUAAGCCCAACAACAAAAGGCCAAUCGCGCCUAUCUUUCAUUUAAUUCGAAAUGUCCAAGGUGAUUUGUCAACCUGAUGUAUAUCUAAUGGCUGCAGGUUAAGCUGUGGUGUGACUGCCCUUUUUGGCCUGAUGAUGGGAUGUGUAAGUUACGAGAUUGCAGUGUAUGCGAAUGUUCAGAAAAUGAAUUUCCCGAAUCUUUUAGGAGACUGCCACUUCCAGCUGAUGAUCUGAAAUGUCAAGAGGGAAAACCAGAGGCAGCUGUUGACCGCACUCUCGACUCUAAGGUUUUCAGGGGAUGGAUAGAGGUAGAUAACCCUUGGACAAAUGAUGAUGAGACAGAUAAUGGUAAUUGAUCUAUCUUUCUUGACUUUUGUUUGGUGACUUCACCUAUUAACAGCUACUUUAAGUAUUGGAUGAAGCACAAUGGAAGUUUGGAUUUUAUCAAUUUGCAUUACAUUGAAGUUUUUAAACUCAACAUCCAUAUUGUACUGGGAGUUUAUAUAAUACCUUGAUUUCUCUACUUCUUGAAGUUUCUCUUUAGAUUACUACUAAUUUGUUGAACUUCCUCAUUGCAGGUGAGAUGACAUAUGUCAAUCUCUUACUGAAUCCGGAACGUUAUACAGGUUACACUGGUCCCUCAGCCAGGCGAAUUUGGGAUGCUGUAUAUUCAGAGAAUUGCCCAAAAUGUGAGUCAAAGAUACUUUCAAUUGGUUGAAACAUUUGUUUUCCGAACCUUCCUAUGAGUCGUAUUUGUAGAAUUACAUUCAGAGGGAAACCAUUGAAAUGUGAAAAUACCUUCUUAAGCUAAGCUGUUAUAUUGUUGAAGUCUGCUUGUACUCGUGCAAAUUACUUACCCUUGUGGUGCAUUACUGUCUUUGCCAACUAUCGUCAUGUAUUUGAGCUCAUUAUCAUUGUGAUGAACUGAACACAGAAGUUACAAUUUUGUGGGCAGAUGCAUCUGGUGAGAUUUGCCAGGAGAAAAAGGUUUUAUUCAAGCUAAUAUCUGGUCUCCACUCUUCAAUCUCGAUACACAUAGCUGCUGAUUACCUGCUUGAUGAAACUACAAACCUGGUCAGUUUGUAUUUAAUAUGCAGCAUGUUUCCAUUAUUCCUUGCAAAAAAAUGGCUUAACGACACUUGCAAAAGCCUACAACAACAUGCGGAGCCUGUUGCAUCCAUAAAAUAAUUCAUUACGAAGCAUGAGCUAUUAUUUUGGAGCACUUAAACAGGAAACCUGACUACUUUGCUGCAAUUUCAGUGGGGUACCAAUCCAGAUCUGAUGUAUGAUCGUGUUCUGCAAUAUCCUGAACGGGUCAGAAACUUGUAUUUUACUUACCUCUUCGUUCUCCGAGCUGUAACAAAAGUGAGUUCUCACUCCACACGCCUAUAUUUUGGCAACUCCUAGAAUGUUAACAUUGUAUACAUUUAUUUAUUGGGUUAUCUGAUGUGCUAUACAGGCAAAAGAUUACUUGGAGCAGGCUGAGUAUGACACUGGUAAUCCUGAGGAAGACCUUAAAGCACAGUCCCUUAUGCGACAGCUAUUAUACAACCAAAAACUGCAAGCUGCAUGUCCAGUUCCGUUUGAUGAAGCUAAACUGUGGAAAGGCCAAAGUGGACCUGAGCUAAAGCAGCAGAUUCAAAAGCAAUUCAGGAAUAUCAGGUUGCAAUAUUCAUCUUGAUUUCGGCCUUUAUUUUCUUCCUUUGAAACGAUUGACCAGACUGGCUUGAAACUUGGCGUGAUUAUCUAAUGAACUGUUCUCAAGUUAAUUUCAUAAAGUUCAGAAAAUAAAGGUCUGAAGGCUAUUAUCUUGCUUAUACAUGCUGCACUAAUCCCUUGAUGACUGUAUUUUGAGUUGACUGCAUCAGUACAUUUAUACUUCAGUCUAUUUAUUCAAAUGUACGCAUAUACAAACGCAAGAUUUUUGGCUCUUUCUGCAGUUUUGUGUAUGUUGUUCAAAAGUAGUUGUUGCUAUGUAGUUUACCAUAUGACUGAACAAUUUGGUAUGCAAUUUUCAUGUUGCAGCGC